GCCGACCCUCCACCUCCCCUCCUCCCACCUCACAGCUCCGGAGGCUGCAGGAUCCGCCACAUCCCCACCCAACCGUCCCUCUCGUGUUCCAUCCCGGUCUCUUCACGCGGCUCCUCGCCGCGCUACCUGCGGCGGCUGCAUCAGGUGAUGUCCGGCGAAUCCCGCCAGCGCCAAGCACAGCCUGAGGUCCCUUCGCUCCGUGGAGCCCUCCCAUCCAGCUAGAUCGAGCGCUCGCUGCCACCAAAGCCCACCUGCGACCCAUCCCCCAUGGCUAGGGUUUCGGGCUUCAGAUCCGGUGCCGGUGACCAUGUCGUCCUCGUCUCAUCCGACAUGCGGGGAGGAACAGGCAGUGGACAACCUUGCUGCGGCUCGGGAUGAAGCAGCCACGAGCUUCCUCCUCCUCCGGCUUCAGGUGAGUUGGUCCACUCCUCCCUCUGCUCUGGUUCGUGGCACAUCAGGAGACAUUGUUGUUCUGGUGUUGUUAGGAUUUUCUACUGUUUGGGAUCAAGUGUCUGCUGGUUGAGGUCAAUUUGAUUUUGUUUUGCUGCUAAAGUGUCAAAGCAGAGGAUGGCCACAUGCUUGACUGAGUCACGAUGUGUUGAGGCUGGGAAGGUCGGCAUGGCCUCCAACCAUGGCAAAUACACCUACUAUGCUGCUGCCUUGCAAGCAGUAGUGGCUAAAAAUCAACCCCUAGCUGCAUAUUAUUUCUAGGGUAACAUCAUUGUAGGGAGGGAUUCUGAAGCCCAUCUACGCAGUAACCAGUGUGUUUGAGGCAAUUAGUACAAAAAACACCUAGGUAUGGUUAAAAUUCAGGUUAGGGUCUACAAGUAAUUAAUACAGUAUAAAUCUCCAAGGCCCUGAUUAUUUUCUUUUCCAAUCUUUAGUAUUCUCCUGUUUCAGGUUUUGACCAUGGCCAACAUAUAUUCUUGUAGGCUAAUUACUAAAUCAAUCUAACAAUGGUUCAUGUGGCAGUGGAGGUGUACCAAAGGUAGUUUGAAGCAGAUUAGGCGGCCGCGGGCGUCUUUGGCGGUGAGGCCGUCCAGUGAAGGAAAUGGCGGUGUGGCGAUUUGUGUUCUAUUCUCCAUCCUUUAAGCUCAUAACAGAAGAAAGAACUAUACAAUCACUAUUGUUUUAUUAAGAAAAGACACCUGUCUUGUAUGCAUGUAUUGAUGAGUACUCCUCUUGACUCGAUUGUGUUGUAGGGAGUGAAAGCAUCCAGUUGCGGUGGUCUCCAACUCUGGUCGCCUCCAGCAGCACCACAUAAUCAAAGUUCCAAACAGUAGUGUUGGACUGCUGCCUCCAGCCAACCAUAACAUAAUCAUUGGAUGUGUUUCUUAUGUAGAAGAUUUGAGUGAUCUGCACGCACCAACUUGAUGUAGGGGGACACCAUGGAAGGCUAUGUCGUAUAUUGUGGCGUCUGGAUUAGUCAUCAAUGAUCACUAACAGUCAUGCCGGUAUAUUUCCAGAAUCAUAACAAGGACGUAGUUCUUGCUACAGUUCUAAGUUAUGAUCCUAAAUUGAAAAUUGAUGGUGCUGAAAUUAAAAUGCAUUUUGGGCAGUGUAAUACAACACUUGCGAAAACUGAAGAUUUGGUACAGAGUCGCAAAAACUACAAUACUAAUGGUAAUGCAAAAAAAAAUAUUGCAUGGCCUUCAAUGUUUGUACGUGUCUAUUAUCCUGCCUUUAUCAAUACUUGCAUCAUGUCAAUGCAUUAUGAGUUAAUAGUUCAUUUUGUUAUUUUCUUUGUAGAUUGAAAAGAUAUAUGGAUGAUUAUAUGGGUGCGUAACAAGUAUACUGGAAUGAUGAUGACGACGACGACGAUAUUCUGGUUCAUGAUGUUGAUGAUGAUGGAUGCUUUCAAUUUUAGUUAAGUUGUGGGAUGUUCCUAUUGGACGAUGUUCCUCAGUUAGUUUUAGUCAAGUUGUAGGGAUAUUGAUGGAUGAUUUUAGUUUAGAUUUUGCUGUCAAGAAAAUUUUAGAUUAUGCACACAUUUGGAUGAUGUUCCUCCUGUAAUAUCCAUUAUUGUAAUCCAACAUUUUUAUAUGAUAUAUGAUUUCUUCCUCUUGUGAGUA